UACGAAGGGGGCUAGCGUUGUUCGGAAUUACUGGGCGUAAAGCGUGCGCAGGCGGUCUUCCAAGUCAGUGGUGAAAGCCCGGAGCUCAACUCCGGAACUGCCAUUGAAACUGUGAGACUCGAGUACGAGAGAGGUGAGUGGAAUUCCCAGUGUAGAGGUGAAAUUCGUAGAUAUUGGGAAGAACACCCGUGGCGAAGGCGGCUCUCUGGGACGGUACUGACGCUGAGACGCGAAAGCGUGGGGAGCGAACAGG
rnacentral:rRNA from 1 species